rnacentral:misc_RNA from 1 species
GUGAAUCAUCAAAUCUUUGAACGCAAAUUGCACUCUCCUCUAAGAGUAUGCCUGUUUGUGGGUCAGCCUCUAAAAUAUCGACAUCGUUUCCGUUUCGCGGUGGCGUUCGUCGGAAAUUUGGUCAUCUUAAAUCCUUUUGGUUUUAAGCGACUUAACAUUUUCUUUUUGGUUCCAUGAACGUUUCUACGAUUUAUUUCUUUACACGUUUAAGGUAUCGAUUUUUAUUAGACGUGACCAUCAUAUCAGAUCGCGCCC